rnacentral:tRNA from 1 species
GCCGAUGUAGCUCAGUCGGUAGAGCGUGGGACUCUUAAUCCCACGGUCGCGGGUUCGAGCCCCGUCGUCGGUA